UUUAAAUAAAGUUCAAAUGUACGCUUACCAUGCUGCACCUUGGUCCAGUCCUUCAGCCAGCCGUGACAGUGAAUUGCGCCACAAAAUGUGUUGGGAGAGCAGAGCCCCAAGACUCUGAUUUCCUUGUCAAUAGGAUGGAGACGGAGCAAGACUUUGAGCAACUAGAGAAGCAGCCUCAAAGUGUGGAUACACAGAAUCUGAUGGCUCUUUACCAAUGGCCUGAUGUCCUUGUUCAACUUCAACGGCCAUCGCGCAAAGCGGGGAUUAGGAAACACAACUGUGUACUCUGUUGUCAACGAUACCGGUGC
ensembl:lncRNA